UCCGGUUUGUCACCGGCAGUCUCCUAUGAGUCCCCAACUUAAUGCUGGCAACAUAGGACGGGGGUUGCGCUCGUUGCGGGACUUAACCCAACAUCUCACGGCACGAGCUGACGACAACCAUGCACCACCUGUGCACGGCCCCGAAGGACACCGUAUCUCUACGGCUUUUCCGUGCAUUUCAAGCCCUGGUAAGGUUCUUCGCGUCGCGUCGAAUUAAGCCACAUGCUCCGCCGCUUGUGCGGGCCCCCGUCAAUUCCUUUGAGUUUUAGCCUUGCGGCCGUAAUCCCCAGGCGGGGCGCUUAAUGCGUUAGCUGCGGCGCCGGGGGAGUCGACACCCCCAACACCUAGUGCCCAUCGUUUACGGCGUGGACUAC
rnacentral:misc_RNA from 1 species